rnacentral:tRNA from 1 species
GGAACCGUGACGAAUGCCGGAUGAAACUACAGGCUGUUUACCCUCCAGGUCGCGGGUUCGAAUCCCGUCGGGUCCUCCA